UACGUAGGGUGCGAGCGUUGUCCGGAAUUAUUGGGCGUAAAGAGCUCGUAGGCGGUGUGUCACGUCGGCCGUGAAAACCUGCAGCUUAACUGUGGGCGUGCGGUCGAUACGGGGCAUCACUGGAGUUCGGCAGGGGAGACUGGAAUUCCUGGUGUAGCGGUGAAAUGCGCAGAUAUCAGGAGGAACACCGGUGGCGAAGGCGGGUCUCUGGGCCGAUACUGACGCUGAGGAGCGAAAGCGUGGGGAGCGAACAGG
rnacentral:rRNA from 1 species